CAUCAGAGGAGCAGGAAGGCUGACGUUUCGGGCCUAGACCCUUCCAGCUGUGUUCAUUCAACUCUACACCUUGUUAUUUCAGAUUCUCCAGCAUCUGCAGUUCCUACUAUCCCAGGUAUCCUGCUGUUGGGGUGUUGUGCGUCCAUAAUGAGCAAAAUAAAUGUUGAGGAAGAAAGCAGCUGGCCUUGCCAUCAUCAGCCACAGACAUGGAAGAAUUUUAUGAAAAGAUUUGAGAAAAAAUGAGUUUGAAAUGCCUGCAUCCACUAUUUUUAGUGGACUGAUUAAUGCUUUUGUAUCAGUUUCCCAUGUAUGCAGUUCAGACUAAGUUUUUACCUCAUUUAAACUGAAUUAAUGAUUUUGUUAAAAUAGCAGACUCGGUUAUUUGAUGGAAGAUCAUUAACCAUUGUACUAAAAAUAGUGGUCAAAGGACUACCGAGCCUUGACGUUUAAGAGUUGGUAGGAAACCUCCGGAGAACAGUGUAAUUUUUUCCCUGUUGAAGUACAAUGAGAAGGGCAUACAGUGCAUUUAAUUCAUCUUGGAAAGAGGGAUGCAUCUCUAAGGAACUGAAGUUAUAAGUGCACUCACUAUUUUACAGCUUUACAAUGUCAUCUAGAUGAUCCCAGAUUGGGUGAGUUGAAGGAAAUUAAGGUUAUGAGAGACUUUGUUAAACUCUUAGGUGUGUUUUAUUGAAAUGAGAUGCCAAGCAAAGCACAAAUGGAAAUAUUAUAACAGCAGUCAACUCAUGAGUUUUUAUUAAUUAUUAUUGGAGGAAAUAUAAUCAUCAGUGCCAAAGCAUCUCAGUUUUACUGAAUUUUCCAACACCCUAUACUAAAAUCUGCAAUUUUUUUUUCUGAAAUAUCCACUUGUGCUCUCCAACAGUCCUUGACAGAAAGUAUUUUAAAAUGAUCCCACACAACAAUAAGUUUGCCUCCCUAAUUCAGUAAAAUUAUCUCAGCUGUAAAAAGGGCAUUGCAUGCACUUUUGUGCAAUAUCUUCUUCAAGAUACUCACCUUGAUCCCGUCUCCAGCCAAUUCAUUAAAAUUUAUCUUUACUUAUUUCAACUUUGAUAGUUAAAUUUUCUUUGGUGAUGUAUUGUUGGCUUUCCUUUUAAAUCUGCUGUCAUCAAUCAUUACCCCCCCCACACACACACACCAAAUCCACUUAGCCUUUUCAUUCCCAUCAACUUCAGCUCUAAAAGAGCUCCAGCUCUAACUUGUCCCUGGAAUGUUAUCUUUGUCUGUCAACUCUGUGUCUGUAUCUUUCAAGAUUUCCUGCUGGAAUCCCUCCAUAUUGGCUUUUGCUCCUGGCUCUGACCAAAGUCAUCAACAUCAUAUGCUGUAAGGAAGGUGUGCAAUUCCUUACUUGCUGUCACCAUCUUGUUGCCAGCAUUUGAUAAAAUGUACCAUCAUCUCUCAGCAGCUGUGAAGUUGUAUAGAACUUUCCAUGCUGAUUCGACCCUUAUUGUUAUUAAUUCAGCCACAGUGCAUCUCUAGUAAUAACUUAUCUCCCUAUUCCUAAAUGUCAACUCCAGAGUUCAAGACACAAAUCUUUGCUGUGGCACCUUUCCAACAUCAUCUGCAGGCAAAAGGUGAGAAUUGAGUCCAAUUUUCUACUGUCUCAUUUGACUCCAUGAUUGCUCACUGUUGAAAAAUAACUGAAUUAACUGUUUUAAAUUAUGUACUCCAUUCCUUGAGGAGAGUCUCAUUUUACAAUACUGAGAUUUCUGUUGUCAUGAUGUUGCACUCUAUGGACUAUUAAUCUUUAAAUCCGUCAACUGAUUUAAGGUGCCAAACAAAUGUUCUAGGUAAUAAAUGAGCCAAGUCACUCUACUUUAAAAUGGCUGCAAUAGCCAUCUGACAUAAAAGCUGCAGGCGUUACAGGGAAUUUCAAAAUGGAUGCCUAAAUGACAGUUAAGGAAUUAAUUUGCAUUAGGAAGUGGGAACUGAUAAUAAGCAAGAGAAAUGGCCAGAGAUAAAAUGAACCUUACCAAAACUCUUUAUGCUCUACCAUGCCUCACCAUUUUGAUGGCGUCUUGAUAGCUUUAACAAUGAAAGAUUAGAACUCCUUCAUUAACAUGGGUUAUAUUCAUGAUGUUCUGAUAGUCGGCCAUCAAUUGAUUGAAACUCUUCCCUCAAGAAAAGCUACAGUUAUAAGUUUGUGUGGGCUACAGAAGGCAGUGACAUUAAGACAGCCUGUAGAAUGUGAUGGAGAGCAGUUCUCUGAUUCAAUAUCUUUUGAUGAAAAGCUCUGACCCUAUCACUUGCAAGUUGGAAAACAUCACUGAUAUUGAAUUAAAACACAUAAAAGAAAUUUCAAAUGCCACAGCACCCACUCUGGAAAGGAAUGAUUACAAUUUAAGAGACUGUCUUUAGAUGACUAACUAGCUUGGCUGCACCCACAACAAGUCAAGACCAACAGCUGAACAUAUUUAUUAUGGAUUUUAACUUAUUUUUAAUUCUACCUCCUCUCACCUUCUAAUUUCUUGCGUUUGCUUUCACGUCUAUAUGUGUCUAUGUUGUGGGAUUCAAGAUAGACCUCACCAUUUAGUAAUAUUCAUACUUUCAAAUACGUGACCUUUUUAAGAAAAAUUAAACAAUUUGCUAAUUCAAGAAAUCCAGCUGGCUUGCUUCUUCAUAGCUUCACAGAUGGUCAAAUACGUAUUGAAUUUUUUAAAAAUUUGAAAAUUCAAACUUUUUCAUCAACCUUAGGAGUAAAACAACAGGAAUUUAUUCACCCCUAUGGAAUUAAUCAUGACAUAUAUAGAUAUAUAACUUUACAUGUGUGACUUUCAUCUUUAGUGACCAGGCUGCAUUCUGCUAGAACUAAUUAUUUGACUACUUUUAAGUGAUUUGCGGAUGACACACGCUGUUAAUUUUAUAGUAAUUGUGUUUAAUUGUAUACAAAGUAGUGGAAUUAAUUGGAAAUUAAUCUACACCUCUAUAAAAAGACAGACGUAUAAACUGUAUGUAA